CUUUUUGGCAAGAGAACCCCAGCAGAGAGAAGACCAGAGCCUCACAACUUGGAAAGGGAGACCUGGCUGAGGGUCUGAGAAAGAAAGCUGAACGUCUACCACCUGAAGUGUAUCAAUGGAUUUUUAGUAACUGAAGUUCAAGGAGAGCUGUGCCUAAAGUGUUGCGUUUAAGCCUGAAACAUCUUAGAGCUAGUUAAAGUAAACAAGCUAACUUCUACCCGGAGGAACGCAUUUCCUGACCCACUUUGUCUCAUAAACUUCUUUUUGUUUAA